CAAGCCUAUAAAUUGACGCACACUUUCAACAAUCCAGAAGCAUGGCUCUAUGUCUAUUGGUGAUGGUGGACGCUGGCGCAUUUGGCUGCCGCUACCGUUACCGUAUUUUUACCGUAUUUUAUUGUAUUUUUUAUCGUUUUUCGUUUUCAUCUUUUUACACACCUUGUGGAUCUAUUUCUUUUAUGUUACUUUUGAUACUUUUAUUUGUGCUUUUGAUACUUUUUGUUCUUUCUACUGUACAUCGCGUCUGCGGCCGGUGGUGAACGGUGGAUGAGUUUUCCUGGGAUCGGCACGAUGUUGAACUAUUCCGUUGACCAGCUGAGGAAGUUCAACAACUGCACUACUCCAUCGUGUAUUUCAGUCAUCAAACAGCUUGGACUCCUUCGCCGGCCUCGUUAUAUUCACAGGGGCUCCCGGAGAAAGCUUGUUUAUCUUCGAAACGAGCGCAAAUGGGGGCACAAUUCAGGAAAGAGAGGGCUAAGACAGGUGGAGGUCAGUUAUCUGCAACAGGCUUUACUGUGGAAGAGGAAGCAACACUGAGAAUACCAGGUCCAACAGCCACUGAAGGGAUAUCUGGGGGAGUAGCUGUAUAAAGUUCCCAUCUACCCCACCUCAGCAAACAACCCCUGUGCAAUAUUCACUUUGCAGCAGUCCUGGGUCAUCUCCCGGGCUUUCCUCUGCACAGUUCAGUCAAAUGGCUUUACCCAAUCAACAGGACUUCAUGGCCAAGCAGCUAAGUUAAGUUAUAGCUAACCAAUGCCAUCUAUUUCUUUGCCAGUUAUGCCCUCUGAAAAAGCAUUAAAUUUUUCUUAUUUAGAUGUGUACAACAACAAA